CCUACGGGAGGCAGCAGUGGGGAAUAUUGCACAAUGGGGGAAACCCUGAUGCAGCGACGCCGCGUGAGUGAGGAAGUAUUUCGGUACGUAAAGCUCUAUCAGCAGGGAAGAAAACGACGGUACCUGACUAAGAAGCCCCGGCUAACUACGUGCCAGCAGCCGCGGUAAUACGUAGGGGGCAAGCGUUAUCCGGAUUUACUGGGUGUAAAGGGAGCGUAGACGGCUAAUCAAGUCAGAAGUGAAAACCCAGGGCUCAACCUUGGGACUGCUUUUGAAACUGAGUAGCUAGAGUGCAGGAGAGGUAAGCGGAAUUCCUAGUGUAGCGGUGAAAUGCGUAGAUAUUAGGAGGAACACCAGUGGCGAAGGCGGCUUACUGGACUGUAACUGACGUUGAGGCUCGAAAGCGUGGGGAGCAAACAGGAUUAGAUACCCCAGUAGUC
rnacentral:rRNA from 1 species